UCCGUCUUACGAGGCAGUCCCGCUAGAGUGCUCAGCAUCACCUGUUAGCAACUAACGGCAGGGGUUUCGCUCGUUAUGGGACUUAACCCGACAUCUCACGACACGAGCUGACGACAGCCAUGCAACACCUGCACAGGAUUUCUCUUGCGAGUUGGCCCCCCUUUCAGGGGGUUACAUCCUGAUGUCUAGGCCUGGUAAGGUUCUUCGCGUUGCUUCGAAUUGAACCACAUACUCCACCGCUUGUGUGAGCCCCCGUCAAUUCCUUUGAGUUUUACCCUUGCGAGCAUACUCCCCAGGCGGUGCAUUUAACGCUUUCGCUCGGGGAAAGAAUGCCUAGGCGGCAUCCUCUCCCUAAUGCACAUCGUUUACGGCAUGGACUAC
rnacentral:misc_RNA from 1 species